CAGAACUGCUGGGAUAGUAUCCUUAUACUCUACCUUCUUGAGCUCCCACAGGUGGAAACUUUAGAAAAUGUUUUGCUACUGCAUAGCAUGAAUCCAUAGCAUUUCAGUCUCCAAUAUCUGUGUCUUCACUGCCUUCCAAUGAAGAAAAUGCCAUGAAAAUGCCUCAGAUGUUUGUCAUGCAGUAUCCAAAAGGGACCAUCUUGAGGUCAGGAUAAAUUUUGCUAUGCUACGGAAAUCUUAAUGGAUUGACCAAGAAAGUUUAUGUCGUACAUAAAGUUUGGUGCAGUUUGAGUACCUCUUCUCCAUAGCUGCACCAUUUGGGACACAUGGCCUCAAAAGUUGCUGUGUCAGGUAAAAUGACAAGAGAAGGAUGGAAGAAGUACAUUGACUUUUAAUCACCUUAGUUUAGAAGUGGCCACGUUACUUCUGCUCACAGCCCAUUGGCCAGAACUACUCACAUGGCCCCAACCUAAAUGCAAGGAUGCUAGGAAUGCAGGGGAAAAAAUGGACAUUUGAACAGUCUCACCGUUACCCUGUGUCUGUCAUUCCAAUAUAUGGCCAAAAAGGAACAAGAUUGCAUUUUCUCUUGUUGGUAUUUUUGAAAUAGAGGUAGCAAAUACAUUUCAGAUGGCAGCAUUGUCUAGUAAUGCACAGGUGGGAGUCAGGCUACCAGAGACUCCUCACUGGCUCUUGCCCUUCCCUUCCCCCACAGGUGCCCGGGAGGCUCUGACAGAACCAACACAGGAGGAUAUUCGAGCUCAGACAGCACCUCCAUGUUUAUGAAUCACUAUUAAUCACUUUCAGACCUGGAAAGCACCACAACCAAAGGUGACAUUAGGCUGGCACACUCCAUUGUGGUGCACUGUUGUUUAUAGCCAUAUAUCCAUUCUAAUGAAUCAGUGCCCAGGCCUAAUGAUGAUCAAUUGUGUUGACUAUCACCUCUGCUUAUAAUUUAAAUAUAGUCAUGUGCCACAUAGUGAUGUUUUGGUCAACAACAGACCACAUAUACAACGGUGGUCCCAUAAGAUUAUAAUGAAGCUAAAGAAUCUCUGUCACCUAAUGACGCUGUAGUCCUUGUAACGUUGCAGUGCAGCGUGUUACUCACGUGUCUGUGGAGAUGCUGGGGGAAACAAACCUACUGUGCUUUCAGUCAUAUAAAAGUCUAGCACAUGCAAUUAUGUACAGUACAUACUUGAUAAGAAAUGACUGUUACUGGUUUGUGUAUUUACUGUAUUA
rnacentral:lncRNA from 1 species